GAUUCUGGCUCAGGAUGAACGCUAGCUACAGGCUUAACACAUGCAAGUCGAGGGGCAGCAUUGGGAUAGCUUGCUAUUCAGAUGGCGACCGGCGCACGGGUGAGUAACGCGUAUCCAACCUUCCUGCCAGUAGGGAACAGCCCGGCGAAAGUCGGAUUAAUGCCCUAUGUUCUUCAAUGCGGACAUCUAAGUUGAAGGAAAGAUUCAUCGCUGGCAGAUGGGGAUGCGUCCGAUUAGCUUGCCGGCGGGGUAACGGCCCACCGGGGCGACGAUCGGUAGGGGUUCUGAGAGGAAGGUCCCCCACACUGGUACUGAGACACGGACCAGACUCCUACGGGAGGCAGCAGUGAGGAAUAUUGGUCAAUGGGCGUAAGCCUGAACCAGCCAAGUAGCGUGCAAGGACGACGGCCCUACGGGUUGUAAACUGCUUUUAUGCGGGGAUAAAGUGCGGCACGUGUGCCGCUUUGCAGGUACCGCAUGAAUAAGGACCGGCUAAUUCCGUGCCAGCAGCUGC
rnacentral:rRNA from 1 species